GCUUCCUUAGCGCAGCCGGCAGCGCGUGAGUCUCAUAAUCUCAAGGUCGUGAGUUCGAUUCUCACAGGGAGCA